AGCCAGUGUUCGGGAGGCAUGGCCUGCAAAUGUCCCUGGGCGAACAGUGGUGCGGUGGACUGUGCUGGAUAAAAUUUCUUACAGAAGGCCAGCACGUAAUUGGUAGAAACUCUCUGGCUAAGAAUAAAGAAGUAACAUAAGAAGAGCAAGUUAUAUGAUAGUCCUCUUUCUACAAAUUCAAUAUUAUGACUGAAAAUCUUAAACU